UACGUAGGGUGCAAGCGUUAUCCGGAAUUAUUGGGCGUAAAGAGCUCGUAGGCGGUUUGUCGCGUCUGCUGUGAAAACCCGAGGCUCAACCUCGGGCCUGCAGUGGGUACGGGCAGACUAGAGUGCGGUAGGGGAGAUUGGAAUUCCUGGUGUAGCGGUGGAAUGCGCAGAUAUCAGGAGGAACACCGGUGGCGAAGGCGGUUCUCUGGGCAUUACCUGACGCUGAGGAGCGAAAGCAUGGGGAGCGAACAGG
rnacentral:rRNA from 1 species